rnacentral:lncRNA from 1 species
GGUAAAUAUAAUUUUUAUGGAUAUUUUAGGAAAAAACUUGUUUCAAGAAUCAAGUUCCUGGCUGCCUCACUCUCUCUUUUAGUUUAAGAUCGGUUAAUGGAUGAAAAAUGUGAUUGUUUUUUUACUAUUUGACAUUUUUUUUGAUUUGAUUUUAGUGAAAAUGUGUUAUUUAUGCCUUCGAAGCAUGUAGAAUCCAACA